UGAAACCUUUAAGUUUUAAAUCUCUCAUUGUGUUUUUCUUUCACUGAAAGCUGUCUAAGAAAGUCCAACUCAACAACAAAGUGCAGCCGAUCCAAAUACCGAAGGGUGAGAUGAAAGUGAAAGAUAAAGCUAAGUGUCGCGUUGUUGGCUGGGGCUACACAAGAGCUGGUGGUAAAACUUCCAAUGUGCUGGAAAUGGCUGAAGUGACCUUAACAAAUCUGAAGGAAUGUAAAACUAAAUGGAAAUUUUUGAAGCACAAUCUUCCAAACAAUGUGAUUUGUGCAGGUGGACAUAACGCAAAAGCAGGAUUCUGCAAGGGUGAUUCAGGAGGACCUCUAGUGUGUGGAGCGACAGCUGCAGGCAUCGUGUCUUUCAACAUGAAGUGUGACACAAAUGUUCCUAAUGUUUAUACAGACGUAUCAAAAUACGUGUCCUGGAUAGAAAAGAUUCGCAAGCAAAAACAAUGUUAAGUGGAACAUAUCAUCCAAGUAUUUCUUGUAGUUUCUGUGUCUGUCUGUGUUUACUCUUUAAUCUCAAGAUGAAAGGCAAUAAAACCAGUUUUAAAACUUGA